UACGAGUGCCCCGAGCGUUAUCCGGAAUUAUUGGGCGUAAAGGGUGUGUAGGCGGUUUUGUUAGUCUUUCCUUAAAUUCUUCGGCUUAACCGGGGACAUGGGAAGGAAACGGCAUAACUAGAGGAUGCGAGAGGUGAAUGGAACUCAUGGAGUAGGGGUGAAAUCCGUUGAUAUCAUGGGGAACACCAAAUGCGAAGGCAAUUCACUGGCGCACUCCUGACGCUGAGACACGAAAGCGUAGGUAGCGAAUGGGA
rnacentral:rRNA from 1 species